UGCUCUCUGGUCCAGUCAAAAGGUCUGUGUCUAUUCAUAUAUUAUAUAAAGCAGAAAUUACACAAGUCGGAGCUUCUGCAACUCCCUAAAACUGCAUAUUUCCAGGUUACGUGCUGCAGAUACGAACUUCAAGAAACCUUACGAAAACGCCAACACCCUCCCGAGGAUUGUGGGUGGAUGCAUUACUAUGAAUAUUGAUCCCGGUUGCAGGGUUGGGUGAGAGGAUUGUGGCGUGCAACAAUGUCACCUGGUGUUACUGACCGCUGCUUCUGAUCUGCAGCUAGGAGGUCCACUUCCCAGCCGUGGCACCAUGCCUGGUGAAGUCGCGUCCAAAUGCCAGCCUGUAGAGCCUGAUAUGGCAAAUGAAGGCCUGAAGCUUCUGUUCCCGGAGCAUCAUGGGAGUCACCGUACGGUGGCACACCGCGCUACAAUAUGUAAAACCAGCUGUCCGGGAUAAUUUAUGUCGCAUGACAAAUUUUACACCCUUGAGUAUAUAGUAAUGGGGAAAAGUAAACUAGAUGUAUAUGCAGAAUCCGUUCUCUAGUAACAAGCCGCCUUUAACAUAAAUUCAAGAAGCCAUAUUUGUCGCUGAUUUCACUUCGUGCUGGUAUCUGUUUAGGGUAAUGCUUUCGACGUCUGAACUGUAACGUAAUUUAUGUGUUCAGAGAAUGCAGCUACCGACAGAUUUCCUAUGUUUAUACAGAUGGUUAUUUAAUGAAGCGCUGCAGGUUAAGUGGCUCACAUUUUUCACAAACUCACAUCACUGGGCACCAAACCUGUCUGUUGAUAUACAUGGUCAAAGAGACACAUCGGUGCUAAUAUGAGGCUUUUAAGAACGCCUUGUCUUCUGCUACUCUGGAUUCCGGAAGAAGUCCCCUCAUCCGCCGCCAUUUCAUCAACAAAAGCUGCCCUCCUGAGUCAAUUUAUCCAGGCGUUUUCAAUUGGGGGAAAAUAUGUGGCCCAUUGAGCCAUGUGCUGUCUUCUGCCAUUAUGGCAGCGUGAUGAUUCGCGACCAGGGAGAGGCCUUGUGGCCCCUCAGCCUCAAGGUCACACCAUGUGUGUCUAGAAGGUUUCUGUAUUUUUGCAACAGGCAGUCCAAAGGGGCCUAUAACUGUUUGCCCUAC